AGUGAACGCUGGCGGUAGGCCUAACACAUGCAAGUCGAACGGCAGCACAGUAAGAGCUUGCUCUUACGUGUGUCGAGUGGCGGACGGGUGAGGAAUACAUCGGAAUCUACUUUUUCGUGGGGGCUAACGUAGGGAAACUUACGCUAAUACCGCAUACGACCUCCGUGUGAAAGCAGGGGAUCUUCUGACCUUGCGCGAUUGAAUGAGCCGAUGUCGGCUUAGCUAGUUGGCGGGUUAAAGGCCCACCAAGGCGACGAUCCGUAGCUGGUCUGAGAGGAUGAACAGCCAGACUGGCACUGAGACACGGUACAGACUCCUAAGGGAGGAAGCAGUGGGGAAUAUUGGACAAUGGGCGAAAGCCUGAUCCAGCCAUACCGCGGGGGGGAAGAAGGACUUAGGGUUGUAAAGCCAUUUUGGUGGGAAAGAAAAGCAGCAGGUUAAUACCCCGCUGUUCUGACGGUACCCAAAGAAUAAGCACCGGCUAACUUCGUG
rnacentral:rRNA from 1 species